rnacentral:misc_RNA from 1 species
GUGAAUCAUCAAAUUUUUGAACGCAAAUUGCACUUUCUGGUAUUCCGGAAAGUAUGCCUGUUUGAGGGUCAGUUAAAUAAAAAUCGGUGUUGUUGCUGCUUUUCGUGGUGACUCGUCGGUAGUGAUUGGGCUUACCUUCGGUUAAGUUACUUAAAAUUUUAAAUGAUUUUCGAACGUUUUUAGUUUUCUUAUUAACGUUUAAGAUAUCGAUUACUUUUUU